AGUUUGAUCCUGGCUCAGGAUGAACGCUAGCUACAGGCUUAACACAUGCAAGUCGAGGGGCAGCAUGAUUGAAGCUUGCUUCAAUUGAUGGCGACCGGCGCACGGGUGAGUAACACGUAUCCAACCUGCCGAUAACUCGGGGAUAGCCUUUCGAAAGAAAGAUUAAUACCCGAUAGUAUAGUAUUUCCGCAUGGUUUCACUAUUAAAGAAUUUCGGUUAUCGAUGGGGAUGCGUUCCAUUAGAUAGUUGGCGGGGUAACGGCCCACCAAGUCAACGAUGGAUAGGGGUUCUGAGAGGAAGGUCCCCCACAUUGGAACUGAGACACGGUCCAAACUCCUACGGGAGGCAGCAGUGAGGAAUAUUGGUCAAUGGACGAGAGUCUGAACCCAGCCAAGUAGCGUGAAGGAUGACUGCCCUAUGGGUUGUAAACUUCUUUUAUACGGGAAUAAAGUGGAGUAUGCAUACUCCUUUGUAUGUACCGUAUGAAUAAGGAUCGGCUAACUCCGUGCCAGCAGCCGCGGUAAUACGGAGGAUCCGAGCGUUAUCCGGAUUUAUUGGGUUUAAAGGGAGCGUAGGCAGGUGCUUAAGUCAGUUGUGAAAGUUUGCGGCUCAACCGUAAAAUUGCAGUUGAUACUGGGCGCCUUGAGUGCAGCAUAGGUAGGCGGAAUUCGUGGUGUAGCGGUGAAAUGCUUAGAUAUCACGAAGAACUCCGAUUGCGAGGGCAGCUUACUGGACUGUAACUGACGCUGAUGCUCGAAAGUGUGGGUAUCAAACAGGAUUAGAUACCCUGGUAGUCCACACAGUAAACGAUGAAUACUCGCUGUUGGCGAUACACAGUCAGCGGCCAAGCGAAAGCAUUAAGUAUUCCACCUGGGGAGUACGCCGGCAACGGUGAAACUCAAAGGAAUUGACGGGGGCCCGCACAAGCGGAGGAACAUGUGGUUUAAUUCGAUGAUACGCGAGGAACCUUACCCGGGCUUAAAUUGCAGCGGAAUGUAGUGGAAACAUUACAGCCUUCGGGCCGCUGUGAAGGUGCUGCAUGGUUGUCGUCAGCUCGUGCCGUGAGGUGUCGGCUUAAGUGCCAUAACGAGCGCAACCCUUAUCUAUAGUUACUAUCAGGUCAUGCUGAGGACUCUAUGGAGACUGCCGUCGUAAGAUGUGAGGAAGGUGG
rnacentral:rRNA from 1 species